rnacentral:misc_RNA from 1 species
GAUGAAGAACGUAGCGAAAUGCGAUAAGUAAUGUGAAUUGCAGAAUCCAGUGAAUCAUCGAAUCUUUGAACGCAACUUGCGCCCUCUGGUAUUCCGGAGGGCAUGCCUGUUUGAGUGUCGUGAACACCUCAACCCUCUAAUGUUUUUGCAUUGAAGGCGUUGGUAGUGAGCGCUGCCGGUCUUUGGGUCGGCUCGCUUUAAAAUAAUUAGCUGGAUCCAUUCUGACCUGGUUCUACUCGGCGUAAUAAGUUAUUAUCGUCGAGGACGCCUAGCCUUCUAGGCAGGCGGCCACAGUAAGGGUGUUUGAACCGCUUCCAACACGUCUUGCUCUUGUAGCAAACACUUGAAUCUCUGACCUCAAAUCAGGCAGGACUACCCGCUGAACUUAAGCAUAUCAAUAAGCGGAGGA